AGUGAACGCUGGCGGUAGGCCUAACACAUGCAAGUCGAACGGCAGCACAGUAAGAGCUUGCUCUUACGGGUUGCGAGUGGCGGACGGGUGAGGAGUAUAUCGUAAUCUACUUUUUCGUGUAGGAUAACGUAGGUGAACUUACUCUAAUAUCGCAUACGCCCUACGGUUGAAAGCGUUGGAUCGUCUGACCGUGCGCGGAUGGAUUCGCCGAUGUCGGAUUAGCUAGUUGGCGGGUUACUGGCCCACGCAGGCGACGAUCCGUAGCUGGUGUGGGAGGAUGGUCAGCCACACUGGAAGUUGGACACGGACCAGGCUCCUGAGGGAGGCAGCAGUGGCGAAUAUUGGACAAUGGGCGGGAGCCUUAUCCAGCGAUACCGAGUGUGUGGCGGAGGCCUUCGGGUUGUAAAGACCUUUUGUUGGGAAAGAAAAGCAGUAGGUUAAUACCACGCUGUUCUGACGGUACCGAAAGAAUAAGCACCGGCUAACUUCGUG
rnacentral:rRNA from 1 species